rnacentral:misc_RNA from 1 species
AGUUUGAUUAUGGCUCAGAUUGAACGCUGGCGGGAUGCUUUACACAUGCAAGUCGAACGGCAGCACGGACUUCGGUCUGGUGGCGAGUGGCGAACGGGUGAGUAAUGUAUCGGAACGUGCCUAGUAGCGGGGGAUAACUACGCGAAAGCGUAGCAGCUAAUACCGCAUACACGCCCUUCGGGGAAAGCGGGGGGACCUUCGGGCCUCGCACUAUUAGAGCGGCCGAUAUCGGAUUAGCUAGUUGGUGGGGUAACGGCUCACCAAGGCGACGAUCCGUAGCUGGUUUCAGAGGACGACCAGCACACUGGGACUGAGACACGGCCCAGACUCCACCGGAGGCAGCAGUGGGGGAAUUUUGGACAAUGGGGGAAACCACAGAUCCAGCCAUCCCGUGUGCGAUGAAGGGCAGCGGGUUGUAAAGCACUUUUGG